rnacentral:rRNA from 1 species
UACGGGGGGGGGCAAGCGUUGUUCGGAAUUACUGGGCGUAAAGGGUGCGUAGGCGGUGCUCUAAGUCGGAUGUGAAAACUCUGGGCUCAACCCAGAGCCUGCAUCCGAAACUGGAGUGCUAGAGUUCUGGAGGGGGUAGCGGAAUUCCUGGUGUAGCGGUGAAAUGCGUAGAUAUCAGUCGGAACACCGGUGGCGAAGGCGGCUUUUUGGGCCGUUCCUGACGCUGAGGCGCGAAAGCCAGGGGGAGCGAACGGG